rnacentral:rRNA from 1 species
AUGAAGUUUAAUUCCACAAAAGAGGCUUGGAACUUUUGGACAUGUUAUGGAGGUCAUACUGGUUUUGAUGUAAGGGUAAAUUAUGAAAACAAGAGCAAACUUGAUGGAGUAAUCACUUCUGCAAGAUAUGUUUGUUCUAAUGAAGGCUACAUAAGAAAAGACAAAAGGGAUAAUAAUACAAAGCGUCCUCGUGCAGAAACAAGGACCGGCUGCAAUGUUCGAAUGGGAAUCACUAUAGACUGA